GAUGAACGCUGGCGGCGUGCCUAAUACAUGCAAGUCGAGCGAACAGACGAGGAGCUUGCUCCUCUGACGUUAGCGGCGGACGGGUGAGUAACACGUGGAUAACCUACCUAUAAGACUGGGAUAACUUCGGGAAACCGGAGCUAAUACCGGAUAAUAUAUUGAACCGCAUGGUUCAAUAGUGAAAGACGGUUUUGCUGUCACUUAUAGAUGGAUCCGCGCCGCAUUAGCUAGUUGGUAAGGUAACGGCUUACCAAGGCAACGAUGCGUAGCCGACCUGAGAGGGUGAUCGGCCACACUGGAACUGGGACACGGUCCAGACUCCUACGGGAGGCAGCAGGAGGGAAUCUUCAGCAAUGGGCGAAAGCCUGACGGAGCAACGCGGCGUGAGUGAUGAAGGUCUUCGGAUCGUAAAACUCUGUUAUUAGGGAAGAACAAAUGUGUAAGUAACUAUGCACGUCUUGACGGUACAUAAUCAGAAAGCCACGGCUAACUACGUG
rnacentral:rRNA from 1 species